UUCGGUUCACCCGUUUAAAGUCGGAUUUUUCUGUUCUUUCUUUUCCUCAACGUAGAAGGAGAUUCAACUAGUCUUUGGCCAUGGAUUCCAAAGAAGUUUACGAAAUUGACCGCACUGCCGAUUUUAUUCACUGUAAGAACUUCACCAAAGUUGCUCUACAGUUCCCAGACGAGUUAUUAAAGGAUUCAGUCAGAGUGGUGAGUGCUUUGAGAGACAAACUUCAGUUGCUCAGAGAAUCUGUCACUGAACAAAAUGGGGAUAGCAAACAGGUUCGAUUGUUUGUAAUGGCAGACACAACUUAUGGCAGUUGUUGUGUUGAUGAAGUUGGAGCUUCACACGCCAAUGCUGAUUGUGUUAUACAUUAUGGACACACUUGUCUCAGUCCGACAUCAACCCUUCCGGCAUUCUUUGUUUUUGGAAAGGCUUCCAUUAGCAUAUCUAAUUGUGCUAAAAGUUUAUCAGAUUAUGCCUCGACCAACAGCAAGCCUAUUGUGGUCGUUUAUGGACUGGAAUAUGUGCAUGCAAUCCCACAUGUUAGAGAAGAGCUGGUGGCAUUAUCAUCAAUGCAAUCUGGGCCCAAGCAUCAGGACAUCCAUUUUGCUGAUGUCGUUUGUUCUGUAAUAAAUCCUUCUGAUGAUCAAAAAAAUCCUGUUGGGCUUCCAAGACCAGUUGGUGACUACAGUGCUAGUGUAGAAGUUGAGGCAGCAGCUGGUUCUAGCUAUAGAAUUGGAGGUUUGAUCUGGGAGUUACCUAAUGGACACAGGAUGGAGGACUAUUUACUUGUAUGGGUUGGUUCUAGCAAUUCAGCAUUUGCAAACGUCGUCCUUACAUUUAAUGGCUGUGAAAUAGUCAGAUAUGAUGCACUAGAAAAUCGCUUGGUGACAGAUCUAUCUCAACAGAGAAGGAUUCUGAAGCGUAGAUAUUACCUGGUGGAGAAGGCAAAAGAUGCUAACAUUGUUGGAAUUUUGGUGGGAACUCUUGGUGUAGCUGGUUACCUUGACAUGAUUCAUCAGAUGAAAGAACUAAUCACUUCAGCAGGGAAAAAGGCUUACACUCUUGUAAUGGGAAGACCAAACCCUGCAAAACUUGCCAACUUUCCUGAGUGUGAUGUUUUCAUCUAUGUUUCCUGUGCUCAAACUGCUCUCUUGGAUAGUAAAGAGUUCUUAGCUCCAGUUAUCACUCCAUUUGAAGCCAUGGUAGCUUUUGGCAGAGGAAAACAAUGGUCAGGAGAAUAUGUGAUGGAAUUUCGGGAUUUGAUUAAUUCAUCUCCAGUGGAAGCAAAAGACAAAUCUGAAGAAGCAAGGUUUUCUUUCAUGCAAGGCAGAUAUGUAGAAGAUUUUGAUUUGCAAGAGAGCAUUGAAGAAGAUGAUGGAGCUCUUGCUUUAGUGAAUGCAACAGAGAAAGCCCUGCAAUUACAUGACACAAAUUCUGCUUCACUUGUCAAGAGAACAAUAAAAUCAGGAGCUGAGUACUUUGCUAAUCGAUCUUAUCAAGGUCUUGACAUGCACAAUGACAAUUCCUUGCCAGAACCAUAUUUGAUUGGUAGGACUGGUAAAGCAUCAGGUUAUGAACAUGAGAAAAGCAAGACUGAUAAUCUGUGAUAAAUUUUGAGAAACAUAGGAAGAUGAAGACAGUUGACCUGAGAUAGCUUGUGGGAUAUCAAAUUGGUCGGAGCUCAGCAGGAGAGAGGCAUUUUUUGCUACAAGAAUCAAAGCGAAACCUUUGAGGUUUAAGGGUGAUUGGUUCAACUGUUGAAUAUAACUGUUGGACUUGCUAGUAUUUGUAGUUUGAAUACUAGUAUUAGGUUUGUAAGAGGAGUCUAUUGUUGUCUUUGGAACAUCAAUCUGUGUGAUGUUCUGGAGAUCCAUUACAGGAUUUUGAUUAACCUAUGAUCUCGUCUUAUAUUCAUGGACUGUAGUAUCUUGUGGUUGAGGUUGUGGCUAUUGUCGGUGUCAUUCCUUUAUAAAUGUACUUAUUUCAAUAA